rnacentral:rRNA from 1 species
AGAGUUUGAUCAUGGCUCAGAUUGAACGCUGGCGGCAGGCCUAACACAUGCAAGUCGAACGGUAACAGGAAGCAGCUUGCUGCUUCGCUGACGAGUGGCGGACGGGUGAGUAAUGUCUGGGAAGCUGCCUGAUGGAGGGGGAUAACUACUGGAAACGGUAGCUAAUACCGCAUAAUGUCGCAAGACCAAAGAGGGGGACCUUCGGGCCUCUUGCCAUCGGAUGUGCCCAGAUGGGAUUAGCUUGUUGGUGGGGUAACGGCUCACCAAGGCGACGAUCCCUAGCUGGUCUGAGAGGAUGGCCAGCCACACUGGAACUGAGACGCGGUCCAGACUCCUACGGGAGGCAGCAGUGGGGAAUAUUGCACAAUGGGCGCAAGCCUGAUGCAGCCAUGCCGCGUGUAUGAAGAAGGCCUUCGGGUUGUAAAGUACUUUCAGCGGGGAGGAAGGGAGUAAAGUUAAUACCUUUGCUCAUUGACGUUACCCGCAGAAGAAGCACCGGCUAACUCCGUGCCAGCAGCCGCGGUAAUACGGAGGGUGCAAGCGUUAAUCGGAAUUACUGGGCGUAAAGCGCACGCAGGCGGUUUGUUAAGUCAGAUGUGAAAUCCCCGGGCUCAACCUGGGAACUGCAUCUGAUACUGGCAAGCUUGAGUCUCGUAGAGGGGGGUAGAAUUCCAGGUGUAGCGGUGAAAUGCGUAGAGAUCUGGAGGAAUACCGGUGGCGAAGGCGGCCCCCUGGACGAAGACUGACGCUCAGGUGCGAAAGCGUGGGGAGCAAACAGGAUUAGAUACCCUGGUAGUCCACGCCGUAAACGAUGUCGACUUGGAGGUUGUGCCCUUGAGGCGUGGCUUCCGGAGCUAACGCGUUAAGUCGACCGCCUGGGGAGUACGGCCGCAAGGUUAAAACUCAAAUGAAUUGACGGGGGCCCGCACAAGCGGUGGAGCAUGUGGUUUAAUUCGAUGCAACGCGAAGAACCUUACCUGGUCUUGACAUCCACGGAAGUUUUCAGAGAUGAGAAUGUGCCUUCGGGAACCGUGAGACAGGUGCUGCAUGGCUGUCGUCAGCUCGUGUUGUGAAAUGUUGGGUUAAGUCCCGCAACGAGCGCAACCCUUAUCCUUUGUUGCCAGCGGUCCGGCCGGGAACUCAAAGGAGACUGCCAGUGAUAAACUGGAGGAAGGUGGGGAUGACGUCAAGUCAUCAUGGCCCUUACGACCAGGGCUACACACGUGCUACAAUGGCGCAUACAAAGAGAAGCGACCUCGCGAGAGCAAGCGGACCUCAUAAAGUGCGUCGUAGUCCGGAUUGGAGUCUGCAACUCGACUCCAUGAAGUCGGAAUCGCUAGUAAUCGUGGAUCAGAAUGCCACGGUGAAUACGUUCCCGGGCCUUGUACACACCGCCCGUCACACCAUGGGAGUGGGUUGCAAAAGAAGUAGGUAGCUUAACCUUCGGGAGGGCGCUUACCACUUUGUGAUUCAUGACUGGGGUGAAGUCGGAACAAGGUAACCGUAGGGGAACCUGCGGUUG